ACCUGGGAAUUGCAGUUGAGACUGCUGGUCUUGAGUAUGGUGAGGGACGGUGGAAUUCGUGGUGUAGCGGUGAAAUGCUUAGAUAUCACGAAGAACUCCGAUCGCGAAGGCAUCCGUCCGUGCCAUGACUGACGCUGAGGCUCGAAAGUGUGGGUAUCAAACAGGAUUAGAUACCCUGGUAGUCCACACGGUAAACGCUGGAUACUCGCGGUUGGGUUUUAUGGUUCAGCCGCCAAGCGAAAGUAUUAAGUAUCCCACCUGGGGAGUACGCCGGCAACGGUGAAACUCAAAGGAAUUGACGGGGGCCCGCACAAGCGGAGGAACAUGUGGUUUAAUUCGAUGAUACGCGAGGAACCUUACCCGGGCUUGAAUUCGGCAGGAAGACUUCAGAGACGGAGUUGUCCCUUAGUGGUCUGCCGGAAGGUGCUGCAUGGUUGUCGUCAGCUCGUGCCGUGAGGUGUCGGCUCAAGUGCCAUAACGAGCGCAACCCUUGCGCGCGGUUGCCAUCGGUUGAAAGCCGGGCACUCCGCGCGGACUGCCUCCGCAAGGAGCGAGGAAGGGGGGGAUGACGUCAAAUCAGCACGGCCCUUACGUCCGGGGCUACACACGUGUUACAAUGGGGGGUACAGCGGGCAGCGCGGCGGCGACGCCAAGCGAAUCCCGAAAACCCCUCCCAGUUCGGACUGGAGUCUGCAACCCGACUCCACGAAGCCGGAUUCGCUAGUAAUCGCGCAUCAGCCAUGGCGCGGUGAAUACGUUCCCGGGCCUUGUACACACCGCCCGUCAAGCCAUGAAAGCCGGGAGUGCCUGAAAGCCGUGACCGCGAGGGUCGGCCUAGGGUAAGACCGGUGAUUGGGGCUAAGUCGUAACAAGGUAACCA
rnacentral:rRNA from 1 species